rnacentral:rRNA from 1 species
UUGGAGGGCAAGUCUGGUGCCAGCAGCCGCGGUAAUUCCAGCUCCAAUAGCGUAUAUUAAAGUUGUUGCAGUUAAAAAGCUCGUAGUUGAAUUUCGGAAUCAGUGCGCUGGUCGUGCCUCUGGUAUGCACUGGUGCUACUGAUUUCUCCCUUCUGAAGAACUAUCAUGCCAUUAAUUUGGUGUGGUAGGGAAUCAGGACUGUUACUUUGAAAAAAUUAGAGUGUUUAAAGCAGGCUCACGCUUGAAUACAUUAGCAUGGAAUAAUGAAAUAGGACGUUGAUCUUAUUUUGUUGGUUUCUAGGAUUGACGUAAUGAUUAAUAGGGAUAGUUGGGGGCAUUAGUAUUCAAUUGUCAGAGGUGAAAUUCUUGGAUUUAUUGAAGACUAACUACUGCGAAAGCAUUUGCCAAGGAUGUUUUCAUUAAUCAAGAACGAAAGUUAGGGGAUCGAAGACGAUCAGAUACCGUCGUAGUCUUAACCAUAAACUAUGCCGACUAGGGAUCGGAUGAUGUUAAUUUUUUAAUGACUCAUUCGGCGCCUUACGGGAAAC